GAUGAACGCUGGCGGCGUGCCUAAUACAUGCAAGUCGAGCGAACAGACGAGGAGCUUGCUCCUCUGACGUUAGCGGCGGACGGGUGAGUAACACGUGGAUAACCUACCUAUAAGACUGGGAUAACUUCGGGAAACCGGAGCUAAUACCGGAUAAUAUAUUGAACCGCAUGGUUCAAUAGUGAAAGACGGUUUUGCUGUCACUUAUAGAUGGAUCCGCGCCGCAUUAGCUAGUUGGUAAGGUAACGGCUUACCAAGGCAACGAUGCGUAGCCGACCUGAGAGGGUGAUCGGCCACACUGGAACUUAGACACGGUCCAGACUCCUACGGGAGGCAGCAGUAGGGAAUCUUCCGCAAUGGGCGAAAGCCUGACGGAGCAACGCCGCGUGAGUGCUGAAGGUCUUCGGAUCGUAAAACUCUGUUAUUAGGGAAGAACAAAUGUGUAAGUAACUAUGCACGUCUUGACGGUACCUAAUCAGAAAGCCACGGCUAACUACGUG
rnacentral:rRNA from 1 species